UACGGAGGGUGCAAGCGUUAAUCGGAAUUAUUGGGCGUAAAGCGUCCGUAGGUGGCUAGUCAAGUCUGCUGUCAAAGACUGGGGCUUAACCCUGGAAAGGCCGUGGAAACUGACGAGCUAGAGUGCAGUAGGGGUAGAGGGAAUUCCCGGUGUAGCGGUGAAAUGCGUAGAGCUCGGGAAGAACAUCGGUGGUGAAAGCGCUCUACUGGACUGCAACUGACACUCAGGGACGAAAGCUAGGGGAGCGAAUGGG
rnacentral:rRNA from 1 species